UUGCCUCCACUGUGAGACAAACCCCAGCCACAACUCCAGCACACAAGAACUCCAAACACCUGAACCGCAGCUGCCAGGGGUUCCUCCAGAACCUCCUCCCCCAGGAGCUUGCUACAAGGGCUGGAAAUCUGGCCACUGGGCCAAGGAAUGCCCACAGCCUGGGAUUCCUCCUAAGCCAUGUCCCAUCUGUGUGGGAUGCCACUGAAAAUAGGACUGUUCAACUCACCUGGCAGCCACUUCCAGAGCCCCUGGAACUCUGGCCCAAGGCUCCCUGACUGACUCCUUCCCUGAUCUUCUCAGCUUAGCAGCUGAAGACUGACACUGCCUGAUUGCCUCAGAAGCCUACAGGACCAUCACAGAUGCCCUAGAUAACUCUCACAGUGGAGGGCAAAGCCACGCCCAUCAGGAACUUCAAAGUCAUUGAAACUCACCAAAGACCAACUCCUAUGAUCAGCCCGUGGACAAUACCGGUUAUUUUCAAACCAGUCCUUAGUCACCAGGAUUCUUGACAAGCUCCUGCAAAGCAGACACAGGUUUGUCUUGGUGGAAGCUGCUGACUGUCAUCCCCUCAGUUUGAAACUCGAGGUCCUGCUUUGGUGUGGAAGCAGAGCUUUUCUUGGCAGGUGAAAGAUUGCUUAGCAAAGGAAACGGUGUCAAAUGGAAUAUGUCAGAACCUAUCUCAGAACAAGGUCACCCUGACCCUAAAUGAAUUCCACAAAAACUCAUUGGAGACACUGUUUUGCAAAUCUGGACUUCAACCAAAAAGAAAGAAAAGUGGACCACAGUAACCAAAGCUUUCCUCAUCCUUCAGGUUGAGGUCUGGAAAACAGAAUCAAAGCCUCCCUUCAAUUCCUCCUCACCACCUGCCUUACCCAGAUGUACAUUUUAAAUUUAAUCAUAAAUCACAUAAAACAGAGUAACACAGAUGAAUUCAAAUGAGGUGGAUUGCAUGCAUGGAAGGCCAGUGCAGUAUAGUUUACCAAUGAUUACAAGUAUACUUUCUGCUUAAUGUACAUCACAACCAUGUUAAGUGAGUUACUACUAACCACAUUUCAUGGGUGAUGAAAUGAGAUAUGCCAUUUUGGGGGCCUGCCUGUGAUAGGCCACACAGAAAAUAAAGAGGAAAAUGCAUCCUUGGGCUAGGCUCUUUCCGAUCUUUCUCUCAACAUUCUUUCGAUGGCAGCAGCUCAGAGACAAUGAGGACCUAUCAAUCUGCCUUUCUCCAAUUCUCCUACCCCAGUCACCUAAUGUUACCUAAACCCAAAAAGGAAAUAUAUACAACUUCAAACUCUUCUCUAAACACUAAUUCUCCUGGUCGAAGCUUCAGCAAGGAUGCCUUCCACCUCUCAAGGGCACCCCACCGACUGAUUCCUCUGUGUCCUGAAGAUCCCUAUUGUGGCUAGUGGAUAAUAACGCUCAGGAAUGUACUUCUACCCCAUGAACCAGAACACUGUAAAACUGUUGUUCACAUUUAUCCAAUAAAAUCCAGA
rnacentral:lncRNA from 10 species